rnacentral:rRNA from 1 species
GUUAAUCGGGGGCCCGCCUAUACAUGCAAGUCGUACGCUUCUUUUUCCACCGGAGCUUGCUCCACCGGAAAAAGAGGAGUGGCGAACGGGUGAGUAACACGUGGGUAACCUGCCCAUCAGAAGGGGAUAACACUUGGAAACAGGUGCUAAUACCGUAUAACAAUCGAAACCGCAUGGUUUUGAUUUGAAAGGCGCUUUCGGGUGUCGCUGAUGGAUGGACCCGCGGUGCAUUAGCUAGUUGGUGAGGUAACGGCUCACCAAGGCCACGAUGCAUAGCCGACCUGAGAGGGUGAUCGGCCACAUUGGGACUGAGACACGGCCCAAACUCCUACGGGAGGCAGCAGUAGGGAAUCUUCGGCAAUGGACGAAAGUCUGACCGAGCAACGCCGCGUGAGUGAAGAAGGUUUUCGGAUCGUAAAACUCUGUUGUUAGAGAAGAACAAGGAUGAGAGUAACUGUUCAUCCCUUGACGGUAUCUAACCAGAAAGCCACGGCUAACUACGUGCCAGCAGCCGCGGUAAUACGUAGGUGGCAAGCGUUGUCCGGAUUUAUUGGGCGUAAAGCGAGCGCAGGCGGUUUCUUAAGUCUGAUGUGAAAGCCCCCGGCUCAACCGGGGAGGGUCAUUGGAAACUGGGAGACUUGAGUGCAGAAGAGGAGAGUGGAAUUCCAUGUGUAGCGGUGAAAUGCGUAGAUAUAUGGAGGAACACCAGUGGCGAAGGCGGCUCUCUGGUCUGUAACUGACGCUGAGGCUCGAAAGCGUGGGGAGCAAACAGGAUUAGAUACCCUGGUAGUCCACGCCGUACACGAUGAGUGCUAAGUGUUGGAGGGUUUCCGCUCUUCAGUGCUGCAGCUAACGCAUUAAGCACUCCGCCUGGGGAGUACGACCGCAAGGUCGAAACUCAAAGGAAUUGACGGGGGCCCGCACAAGCCGCGG